rnacentral:rRNA from 1 species
GAUGAACGCUGGCGGCGUGCUUAACACAUGCAAGUCGAACGAAGCGCUUAAACGGAUUUCUUCGGAAUGAAGUUUUUGCGACUGAGUGGCGGACGGGUGAGUAACGCGUGGGUAACCUGCCUCAUACAGGGGGAUAACAGUUAGAAAUGACUGCUAAUACCGCAUAAGCGCACAGUGCUGCAUGGCACAGCGUGAAAAACUCCGGUGGUAUGAGAUGGACCCGCGUCUGAUUAGCUAGUUGUGGGUAACGCCUACCAGGCGACGAUCAGUAGCCGGCCUGAGAGGGUGAACGGCCACAUUGGGACUGAGACACGGCCCAA